UCCUGAGAACCGGCUUCAACUAGGAGGAGGAGGUUGGAAGCAGGACCCCGAGCUGACCUGUUGACCAGGAGAGGAGCAGCAGUGAGGAUGCCAGAGUUCAUGGGUUUCUAGAAGACAAGUUUUCAACUGCAGAUACAAACAUCAGGACGUCAAUGUAUCUGCUAGGAGACACCCGGACAGUGUUGAGAACACAGAACCUGGAGGCUAAACCCCCAGCUUUCUAUGCCAGCUGAGAGUCUGUGGGCACAUUACUCAGCGUCUCUGAACCUCAUGCUCCUCCCCUGUGACAUGUAGAUUGCUAAACCCAUCUCACAGGGCUAUCUUCUGCAUUUAAAGAAUAAAAUAACACAUGAGGGGUCUAUCAAUGUUUCUGACCUAUUUAUUUAUUGUUAAUCCUUUCUCUACACCGAAUACUCUAACUAACCUUU
rnacentral:lncRNA from 1 species